rnacentral:rRNA from 1 species
GGCGGGCAAGCCUGAUGCAGCCAUGCCGCGUGUGUGAAGAAGGCCUUCGGGUUGUAAAGCACUUUCAGUCGUGAGGAAGGUAGUGUAGUUAAUAGCUGCAUUAUUUGACGUUAGCGACAGAAGAAGCACCGGCUAACUCCGUGCCAGCAGCCGCGGUAAUACGGAGGGUGCGAGCGUUAAUCGGAAUUACUGGGCGUAAAGCGCAUGCAGGUGGUUUGUUAAGUCAGAUGUGAAAGCCCCGGGGCUCAACCUCGGAAUUGCAUUUGAAACUGGCAGACUAGAGUACUGUAGAGGGGGUAGAAUUUCAGGUGUAGCGGUGAAAUGCGUAGAGAUCUGAAGGAAUACCGGUGGCGAAGGCGGCCCCCUGGACAGAUACUGACACUCAGAUGCGAAAGCGUGGGGAGCAAACAGGAUUAGAUACCCUGGUAG